rnacentral:rRNA from 1 species
GACGAACGCUGGCGGCGUGCUUAAUGCAUGCAAGUCGAGGGAGAACCAGUUGCUCCGUAAGGAUCAGCUGGGGAAACCGCGAACGGGUGCGUAACACGUGAGGAACCUGCCCUGGAGACCGGGAUAGCCCGAGGAAACUCGGAUUAAUACCGGAUACUCUCAUUGGACCGCAUGAUUCGAUGAGGAAACAGUCCGCUGCUCCAGGAUGGCCUCGCGGCCUAUCAGCUUGUUGGUGAGGUAACGGCUCACCAAGGCAACGACGGGUAGCUGGUCUGAGAGGACGAUCAGCCACACUGGGACUGAGACACGGCCCAGACUCCUACGGGAGGCAGCAGCAGGGAAUAUUGCACAAUGGGCGAAAGCCUGAUGCAGCGACGCCGCGUGCGGGAUGAAGGCCUUCGGGUUGUAAACCGCUUUCAGGAGGGACGAAAAUGACGGUACCUCCAGAAGAAGGCCCGGCCAACUACGUG